AUUGAACGCUGGCGGCAGGCCUAACACAUGCAAGUCGAACGAGUGGCGGACGGGUGAGUAAUGUCUGGGAAAAUGCAUGAUGGAGGGGGAUAACUACUGGAAACGGUAGCUAAUACCGCAUACCAUCGGAUGUGCCCAGAUGGGAUUAGCGUGUUGGUGGGGUAACGGCGCACCAAGGCGACGAUCCCUAGCUGGUCUGAGAGGAGGACCAGCCACACUGGAACGGAGACACGGUCCAGACUCCUACGGGAGGCAGCAGUGGGGAAUAUUGCGCAAUUGGCGCAAGCCUGAUGCAGCCAUGCCGCGUGUAUGAAGAAGGCCUUCGGGUUGUAAAGUACUUUCAGCGGGGAGGCGUUACCCGCAGAAGAAGCACCGGCUAACUCCGUGCCAGCAGCCGCGGUAAUAC
rnacentral:rRNA from 1 species